UGUAUUACUAGGUCAAUUGGUUAGAGCAUGGUGCUGAUAAUGCCCAGGUUGCAGGUUCGAUCUCCAUAUUCCUGCAUUGCAG